UCUCCCAGCCAGGGAGACUUCCUCCCUACACAAGSUCYUCAACUUCAAGCAGGCCUGCCUGGAGCAGACUGCUAAAACCUUCCAAAGGCAGUGACRYGAGAGCCUGCCUAAGAACUUCAGCACAAUUGGCCACGACACAAGGUCUSAYCAGCAGAUGCACAACAGGAGCCACAAACCAACAAGACCACUUCACUGGACUUCAAACUGCACAUCCAAAAAGGAGCUUUCCCUCUUUUUCAUUAACAGGAGAGCUCCAGUGGCAGGGCAGAAUGAGGGAUCAUCACUGCUGACAGUGUUUUACUGGUGUAAGGCGACUGCUCCUAUCUCCAUCCGGUGCCUAUAAACUGCGGCCAGCACCGUCCUGUGGCAUCGGCUGUGGACUCACCGCGUCCUGGAGCCGACACACACCAGCAGACGCCCUGUGGAGCUUCUCCUGCUCGUAGAUUUUAGAAACCCUGUCGAUCCGUCGCCGCAUUGUUCCAGUCAAGCCGAGGGGAGUUUAGAAAUCCAUUUCAGAAUGCUGAAACGAUGCGCGAUCACAGUCCAGUCUGCCCGCUAGCUCACGCACCGAGGCCACACAGCCCCGGGCAGGUCUGCGGGAUGACACCGAUGCCAAUCCACAUCGUGUCCCGCAGCCCAUCAGCGUCCAGGCGUCUCACUGACAGGCGGAGACAUGGGACAGCAUGGGGAAUGGAAAUGUCCUCUGUCUGUGUCCGGAGCAGAAAGGCUGGUGUUGGCCAGGUUUAGGGAAUAAAUGCAGCAUCCGAGGUGGAAGCGAUUUUAAUCCCGUCUGAACGUUUCACGGACAGGGGCGGUCCAAGCUUUCUAGGGGACGUGGGCAGAAUCUUCCCGCUACCCCCACAGAGAGCCAUUGCACACAAAGUUUGAAUACAUGUAAUGACAUGAAUAUAUAGAGUGAAAUUUUAAAUGUGUGUCACGCCUAUUACACCCCGUAAAUAUUUGUUUUCUUUUUGUUUUUUACAUUUUUACUUCUGUUGCAUGUUAGAAGCUUCAUUAACCCCCACGCUCACUCACGGUAAUGGGGCAAAGAUUAUCCGGAAGCUCUCACUCUGACAUUUCCAUCCACACAUACACCUCCUGCUGAGAAAGUGUGGAGAAUCUCCGGGGUUCAGUGCUUGUCUGAAAGCAGUUUAAAUAAUGUGUAGCCUCUUGAAUUCCUUGGUUUUACAAAAUGGCAUCAGAUGACAUAUUCUAGUACUUGUUGAAUUGGAAAACAUCCUUGUUAUUGGUAUUUGUGAGACUAACAGUUUGGCUAUAUCACGUCACCUUGAAAAUCAUAUUUCCAUUGAUGCAGCAUUUUUAGUACUUAUGAAUCUUGAAUCAACAAAAUUCAGGUACAAACCAAUGACAUAACUUGCCCACGAUAGUCUGUAUAAUUUUUGUUGAGAUGUAAAACCUACUUGCUUAGUUUUUGUGUAUGAGCUGCAUGUAUGCCCACGUUCUUAAUAAUAAUAAUACAAUAAAAAUACUAGUUAUCAACACUAA